rnacentral:misc_RNA from 1 species
GAUGAAGAACGUAGCGAAAUGCGAUAAGUAGUUUGAAUUGCAGAAUUCAGUGAAUCAUCGAAUCUUUGAACGCACAUUGCGCCCCUUGGUAUCCCGAGGGGCAUGCCUGUUCGAGCGUCAUUUCACCACUCAAGCCUGGCUUGGUGUUGGGCGACGUCCUCUUUGGGGACGCGCCUCGAAACGCUCGGCGGCGUGGCACCGGCUUUAAGCGUAGCAGAAUCUUUCGCUUUGGAAGUCGGGGCCCCGUCUGCCGGAAGACCUGCUCGCAAGGUUGACCUCGGAUCAGGCAGGGAUACCCGCUGAACUUAAGCAUAUCAAUAAGCGGAGGA